GUGCCAGCCGCCGCGGUAAUACGUAGGGUGCAAGCGUUAAUCGGAAUUACUGGGCGUAAAGCGUGCGCAGGCGGUUUUGUAAGACAGAGGUGUAAUCCCCGGGCUCAACCUUGGAACUGCCUUUGUGACUGCAAGGCUGGAGUGCGGCAGAGGGGGAUGGAAUUCCGCGUGUAGCAGUGAAAUGCGUAGAUAUGCGGAGGAACACCGAUGGCGAAGGCAAUCCCCUGGGCCUGCACUGACGCUCAUGCACGAAAGCGUGGGGAGCAAACAGGAUUAGAUACCCUGGUAGUCCACGCCCUAAACGAGGUCAAUUGGUUGUUGGGAAUUUACUUUCUCAGUAACGAAGCUAACGCGUGAAGUUGACCGCCUGGGGAGUACGGCCGCAAGGUUAAAACUCAAAGAAAUUGACGG
rnacentral:rRNA from 1 species